GCACUCUAAACUGUAUAUUUUACAUUCUUUCUACUCACAUAGGAGUGCAGGAGGUUGAAAAUGAGUGCCAAAAUUACGGUGUGAUAGAGAUUCACAUAACUGCUCCUAGUAACAUGAACUUGCUUACUUGAGGUAAAACCCUUGCUUGAGGUUUCCUUCAAAUAGGUCUUCUUGAAGGCUGAUUUGGUGUUCGAAAACUUAACUAGUCGAAAGUUGAGGCAACUCAAUUAUUGCGGCUGGAUUUAUCUACAGUGCUACAACUAUUGAAAAGUUGAAAGUUAGUGCUUAAUGAUAGGAAGCUUGCUUAGUUGGGUUCUUUGAUAAUAACAUAGGGGAUGCUGGACCAUUGUUAGUGCGGCAUCUACAGGACUACGAAGAUUGUGGGUGGAUUUAUCUACCGUACUAUAACGAUUUUAAGGUUGAAAUUUGGUGCUUAAUGAUAGCAAGCGUGCUUAGUUGGGUCCCUUGAUAAUAACAUAACGAUGCUAGACCACAGUUAGGGGUGGUUUGGAAGUAAGGUGCUUAAAAAAAAAGCACCCAUGAAAAAAGCUGUGAGGGUUUUAGGUGUUUGGUAAACUAAAAAAAAUGGCUUAUUUUGGAAGCUGCUUUGAGAAUAACUUUAAAUCCAAAGGAAAAGCUGAAGCAGCUAUUUCCAGCUUUAGAAAAUUGGCUUUUUUUCAAAGCAUACGGAGCUACAGUGCUUUUUUAAUGAAAAGACCCACUAUCAAACUGUUUUUUUUUUUUCAAAAGCACUUUUACAAAAAAGUUUACUAAACACUCUGUUGAUUUAUUUCACAGCCGCUUAUUCUCACAGCAGUUUUUUUUCAAAGUACAACAAUACCAAACCAGCCCUUAGUGUGGCAUGUACAAGACUGCACCAUCUUGUUUACACGUUUAUAUAACGAUGGGAGCUUGUGAACAUGCAUGUCAAAAAAAGGAAACCACGCUGACAGAGUUGCAUCAGCUGGGUUGUAAGAUGGAUGCAUCACUCUCUGUGGACAGAGAAGGACAAAUGGUGGAUGAUGGUGGUAAAUGCGGUGGUUGGAUCAUCUUUUUAUUCAUGAUAGGUAUCUCUCUCUCUUUCUCCCCCUCUCACCCCCUCCCUCUUUCAUGCACUUCUGUUAUUCACUUAUGACUACAAGGAAGUGAAAAAGAAAACUUCUUUCUUAGCAAACCAUGUGAUCUUAUUUUAUUUUGAGCAGGAACUUUAAUGUGCUUGACACUUGCUGCUGGAGGAUGGCAAGCAAAUCUGGUUGUGUAUCUGAUUGAGGAGUUUAACGUGAAGAGCAUUGAUGCUACUCAGGUGGGAAAUGUUGUGAGUGGUUGCACUAGUUUAUUUCCUAUCAUUGGAGCAAUUGUUGCAGACUCCUUAUUUGGCUGUUUCCCGGUCAUCCUGAUCUCGUUUUGUGUCUCUUUUUUGGUAAUAGCCUCGCUCUGUCACCACUCUAACAAGCACACACACUCACAUAACCAUAAUAGUUCUGUUAAUUGUUGAUGUAGGAUUAAUACACUUCCAAUUUGCAACGUAAAGUUGAGUUUUAUAGGAUAAUACACUUUCAAUUCUCUGCUUAAUGGAACAGUAUUAGCCUACAAUGAAGCAUCUGAAGCAUCUGAAACAUCUGAAUCCUUAAAUAGUUGGUGCUAGAGACACGGUAGGAAGGUUUCCAUAUUUUCUUCUCGUAUUUGGAAUUUGAGUUGUACAUCGGGUACCUGCGGGCAAUACAUAUCGUCGCAUUUUUCAAUUUUCCUGUUGAACCAACUUGUUCUCUGAAAAUCUUCAAUACACGUCUAGUCUCAUUUUUAAAUUCAUUACAAUUUAUUCUUCGCAGGGAUUGGUCUUAUUCACUUUGACUGCAACUAUUGAUUCCUUGAGGCCCCCUUCAUGUGAGAAUGGAUCUAGCUUGUGCGAAACACCAUCAAAAGUUCAGUUUGCAGUGCUAUAUGCUAGUAUAACACUGAGAUCAAUUGGACUAGGAGGCACUCGCUUUACUAUAGCAACAAUGGGAGCAAACCAAUUUGACAAGCCUAAAAAUCAAGGGAUUUUCUUUAACUGGUUUUUCUUUGCCAUGUAUACGGCGACUGUUGUAAGUUCUACUGUCGUUGUGUAUAUUGAGGAUAAUGUCAGUUGGGGGUUGGGAUUUGGCCUAUUUGCUCUUGUUAAUUUGAUUGGUCUGGUCAUAUUCUCAUCUGGAAUCCAUUUAUAUCGUCGUGAUAAGCCACAAGGUAGCCCAUUCGUGAAUAUAGCUCGUGUUGUUGUUGCUAGUAUCCGGAAAUGGAAUAUUAAGCUCACAUCCCCAAGGGAGGAUUACCACUACCACAAUGAUGGAGAGGUAAAAACAACUCCCGCAACACCUAAAAGAGUUUCAGGUACCGGAAUUUCCACAGGUCUUAGUGUCUUCUUUAUUGCACGCCUCUUGUUUUUUGACAUGGUGCGUAUAAUUCAAAUGAGCUUUUCCCCGAUGUUUUUGAUCUGUAAUCAUCAUGUUGUUGAGUACGGAAGGAUACACAGUGCCAUACACAUUGAAGGAAAUAAUGAUGAUAAGAAAUUUUCCUUUUGCUCUCUUGUUGCAGAUUCCUGAACAGUGCAGCCCUGGAAACAUAAGGGGACUCGAAGCCCGACGGCUCCAUUGCCAGGCCAUGGAGGUUGUGCACAGUCCAGCAAGUAGAAGAUCUCAAAACUGUCAUUAAAAUUUUCCCCUUGUGGGCAUCCAACAUAUUUAUAAGUACCCCAUUAGCGAUUCAAAUAAGCUUAACGGUCCUGCAAGCUCUAAAGAUGGACCGUCACAUUGGAUCACAUUUCAAAGUCCCGGUUGGAUCUGUCAUAGUCGUGGUUACAAUCGCCACUUGCAUUGCUCUCCCAAUAAUUGAUCGUAUCCUAUAUCCCGUCUGGCAGAAACUGACCCAUAAAUCUCAAACUCCCCUCCAAAGACUAGGAAUUGGUCAUGUCCUAAAUAUCACAAGCAUGGCUGUUUCCGCAUUGGUUGAGUCAAAGCGUCUCAAAACAGCUCAUGGUUCCAUGGUGCCAAUGUUGGUCAUGUGGUUAUUCCCACAGUUGGUUUUGGCGGGCAUCGGUGAAGCAUUUCAUUUCCCGGGGGAACUUCAGUUUUGCUAUCAAGAAUUUCCAGCAUCACUUCAUACCACGGCGACUGCAAUGGUUGCGAUGAUAUUAGCCAUUGCUUUUUACUUGAGCACGGCGCUUUUCACUUCAUUGUUCAUCAGAAAUACUAUUUCCAAUGGUAAAAAAUGCAAUCCUUGAACGUUGGUUAUGACUCACUCGACCUUCCAUACCAACCAAAUGUUGAAACACCCAACCAUACCAUCUUGUGAUAGUUACUAUUUACUAAUCUUGAUUAUGCUUUCAAUGUGUUUGACAAAAUGCUUCAGAUGCGUCCUCUACCGUCCGUUGUCUGCUUCGAAAGAAGAUCUUCUCCGGAUUCACUUUGUGGGAUCCUAGAUAUCCUGACAUCCUAACUGCUUAUCGUACAUCGUACGGUCAGUUUUCGUCAGGUACUAUUUGUGUUUAAGUUUAAAUAAAAAAAUAUCCUAAGUCACGUGCUAUCUAGACCAUGUGGGUUUUUAAGUAAAACGACGAGCAUUGAUGUGUUGUAUGACAACACCACCUAGGUCACGUGGGAGGCUGAUAGUCUCAUCAUUUUUUAUUAAAAAACAAAAAACAAAAAGACUGGACUUUCUAAGGAAGCUUGUCUGCCCUCUUGUUACUGUGCCAUUUCCAUAUCCUCUUAUUUGUGCGGUCACGGUUAAGCCACGUCAACAUUUUAUAUUGAUUGUUUAAUAAAGAUAAUAACAUAAAAAGCAAUAGGAAUAUAAAAUGUUAAUGUGAUUUAACCGUAACUGCACAAAUAAAAGAGAAUGAGAAUGAUAGGAUAACAUGAGGGCAGACAAUCUACCUCCAAUUUCUAAGAAAGUCCACCCGACCCAUAUUAUUAUACAUACUAAAAUUCAGUCUUCCGACACUGUUUCAUCAACAGUGAAAGGGUGAAACUACCAUCGGGUUCUUCUUUUCUCCGCAUACUGUUUCCACGUUUCUACAAUGAAAAGUUGGUUAUGCCCUUCCUAGCCACGCGUCUUUCAUCGUUUGUUUCUCUGCUUGGGCAGCAUCUUUUUUGCUUUACCCUUCUUCUUCGUUUUCAAUUUCAUGAGUCUGGGACGAAGCAAAAAAUUUAACUAAGAGGGGGCACCUUAAAAAAUUUGAGCUCUUUUUUUGGACAAAUAAAGCUAGUUCUUUUACAAAUGCUGAAAAAAUUAAUUACAAAAUGCCUAAUUUUAUUACUCUAUUGUCUAAUUUUGUCUUGAAUUGUUUACAAUCUAAUGCUCAUUUGUACUAAUUAACUAAAUACAUGCAACUCAACAAAGUUUAGACAUUAGUACGUGAGAAAAAUAUACAAGACGGAGGGGCAUUUAAAAACUAAAAGAGGAUUUUCACUAUUUUAAUAUGAUUAAUUGAAUAAUUUGUAAAGCAAAAAAAUGGGGAUGAUUAAUUGAAUAAUUUGUAAUGAAAAAAACAGGGAUGAGAGGGGGGGCAUGUGCCCCCACUGGGCCUUACCUCCCUCCGUCCAUGUGAGUCUGCGAUUUUCUACCACUUCGUCAGCCCGUCUUUUGGUCUCAAAUCCUUUCUUUUUCUUUCGCAAAAUUGUCUUAGUAGAGGUCCAGCGUUUGAUUUUUGUUUUUUUGGAUUUAGUUUCCAGUCUCUCCCGUUAUUGAAUGCUUUGUUGUUGGGCGUUUUCUUCUCAUCUUGCGAUCGUCGGGGAAGAACUUUAAGGUUAGUUUGUUCUUCGUGUUUUAUCCUCAUUUUGCUAUCUCUAGGCCAAGAAAUUUAAGGUCUUUGUUUUUGUUUUUUCUGCGGAUCUGCAGGUUGGGACAAAGUUUUUGUGAAAUUGGUGACUAAUCGCAUGCUGCCUCUUCAGAUUAUUGACAAAGAAAAUUAUAUUGAGCUUGGGUAUGUUUUACAACAACUACGUGUAAUUUUCGAUUCUCAGUUUGUAUUUGUUUGAAAGGAACCCUGAAAAAAACUGUGGCAAUUUGGUUCUCUGUUGUGUUUAUGCUGGCUGUAACAAAUUGGUUUACCGUGUGUAUAAUUUUUUGCUACAAAAUUGGUACAUUCUAAUCGUUCUUAAAAAAAAGACUCAAUUUGUUUUCCAAUUAUUUUUUAGAGUUGUUUUCGUUAUUGGUUUAAAUCAAUGUCCAGAAACCAAAAAGCUUUCAAAAGCAAAGGAUUUAACAUUACUUAAGGGUUUUACAGAGGUUUAAAAGCUUGAAUGCUUAAUUAAAGUUUUGUUUAGAUCAAUGUAUAGAGACGAAAAAGGUUUGAAAAGGAAAGUAUUUCAGAUUGCUUGAAGCUUUUACACCAGUUUAAAAGCUUGAGUGACUAAUUAAAGCUUAAUUAUGAAUUCAACCAUAUUUUACUUAAGUUAAUCAAUCAUGUAACUACUGAAAGUAUAUGAUUCAGUUACCUUUUUGAAAAUGAGUACCUUUCUUUUUUAUUAAGGAUCAAGAACAUUCAUGCUAUCAAUUUUUCUCAAUGAUGAGGCAUUUCAUUUUCUUUCGUUGUCAAAUAGUGUUCUCUGGUGGUUGCAAAGUAAUACAUAUGUAUAUAGAGCAGGUCAUUAAUAAACAAUCUGUUUGGUUCUAAUUUUUUGAUAAUUCGGUAUUAUUGGAAAGAUAAUGUGGACAAGGAGCUGUUAACUCUUAUUUAUAUAAACAGAUGCAUAAAAUUUGUUUUGCACGACAAAGCUUAUAUGUAUUUGGUUAACAAUGCGAGUAUUCUGAGUUUUGUUAAUUCAGUAAAAUGUAUUGUAGGUCAUUAAAUUUUGACAUCCGUUUCACUAAUACUGCUUUUAUUCUCAGCAAAUAUAACAUGACCUUACAUUUUUUGAACUUUCAUCUGAUACUGUUUUCUAUAGAGAAGAUAAUCAUCGCAGAAAACUCAAUCUAACGAUACUUUUCCUGCUACUAAAAGCAUUCUCUUAACCUUCAACUUAAGUAAGUGCUGCAUUUUUAUAUAUGUACAUGGUUUACAUAGUUUUUAACCAUUACAUCACCCAUUGUCUAUAGCUGUGUGUUGUUUCUAAUUGCUUACUGUACUGAAAUAAUUGUAUUUAAUCAUAUUUUAAUAAGUGAAGUUUGUAAAAUUGGUUUCCAGGUAUGGUUAAGCAGUUAAAAGGUUUGUUUAAUAAUUUGAAGAAAAAGAACAUAAAUCACUAAUGUAACAGGUAUGUCACAACUUCAACAAAUAGGUUUCAAGAACAUGUAAAUACAAGGAUCCAAGAGUAUGUCAAAUAAAUUAACGUUUUAUUACUUUUUUUUUAUUACUUUUCUACAUUUAAAUUCAAUAUUUACUGACCUUUCUCCUCAGGGGAAUUAGUUACUACUAAUUUAUAUACAGACUAUCUUCUAUUUAUCUAAUCUAAAUACAUGGCCUUGCCUACACAUUGAGAGGUUAAGUUAAACAUAAAAAAGUAGAAAUAUGCCAUCUCCACAUGCUUUAAUUAAGUUAAGGAACAUCUUACCAAUAGCAGAAUUGUUAAAUCUAUCCAUGCACCGUUGCUGUUAUUCAUUGAUUAGAUUUAAUAAUUCUUCUAUACGUAAUGUAUUCUUUCGCUAAGUUAAAGCAUGUAGAGACGGUGUAUCUUUGGUGGGAACAUUUGUACUCAUACUAUUCCAUGUUUAUCUUAAACCUUUUAAUGCAUAGAUAAAAAAUUGGCCAUACAUUUAGGGUAGGUCAAAAUAAUAAAGUUUGUAUAUAAAUUGCUAAUAGCUAAUUCCUUUGAGGAGAAAAGAUGGAAAUGAUGAUUUUUCCUCCGAAUAAUGGAGCAUAAAAAACAUCUCUAUAUUGCAGAGAGCAACCUAUUUAGCUAAAUCUGAUCCAUCCUCUUAAUAUGCAUGGUGUGCAGUUUCUGAUUUUUAAUCAAACUUCACACUAUUAUUUUCAUUUGGUAAUAGGUUUUAUAAAAUUUGCCCAUCCUCUUAAUACACAUGGUGUGCAGUUUGUGAUUUUGUACAUAGUUUUAUAAUCUUUAAACAUCAUUUCAUCACAUUUUGGGAAAUGAUGUAACCAUUUGUCUCUUCACCGUCUUAAAUUGUAUAAAAUUAACCCUUUAUUCUGUUCAUGAAAGUACAACGGUGAACUGACAUUAUGUAAAUUCACAAUCCGAGUAAGUCCUCGAUUUCACAUAUUUUAAUUUAUUUAUACUUUUGUUCACAUUAAUCAAUAUUAUACUGCAGUUUGAAAUCUAUGAUAUACAUCUAUCUACUUUCAAACCUAAAUUCUACAUCUAUUAGAUCAAAUUAAAAAACCCCUACAAGCUUAGAUAUAUAUUUAUUUAGCUCUCUGUAUUAAGAAUUUAUGGGUGUUGUUCUUCUCAUUUAAAAAAAAAAUUAAAUUUAAUAUAUUCAUGUACUCUGUUUGGAUACAUUGAAAGUAUAAUCAACAAUAAAUAUUUAAGUCUGUGACAUCAGGCAAUUUAGCAUGGUUACUUGCUGUUCUCUUCAAGGUCAGACAAAGUUUAUCUUUGUAAAUAUAUGUAUCUUACCAAAAACCAUAAAUGAUACUACAGAUCUUUUUUUUUCCUCUAAUUUUUUUAAUUUUUUAAUUUUUUAAUUUUUUUUAACAAAUGCUUCUCAACAAUUGAGCCCUUUUUGUCACUAUUCAUAUUGCAGGAGUUGAGCUUCCACAAAUUUCAGGGCGUUCAAACUUUAUCCUCUCGAAUGAAAUGGUAAUGAAAUUUCUUAAAAUUAUAGUUUAUUACUAUAAAAGAUGACUUAUGUUCUCAGCCUCAUAAUCUAUGUAUGUUUACACAUUAUCCAACUUGCUUUGCUUCUACAAAAUCAAAAUACUUAUAUCCGCCUACAAAAUUCUGUUGAAGAAGAGAGAUUUUUUGUAACAUCCCACAUCGCCCAGGGGAGUGAUCCUUAAAUAUAUAUUCUCAUCCCUACCUAGCACGAGGCAUUUUGGGAGCUCACUGGCUUCGGGUUCCAUAGGAACUCCGAAGUUAAGCGAGAAGGAGGCCAGAGCACUCCCAGGAUGGGUGACCCACUGGGAAGUUGCUUGUGAGUUCCCAAAAACAAAACCGUGAGGGAAUGGUAAGCCCAAAGUAGACAAUAUCGUGCUACGAUGGUGGAACGGGCCCGGAAUGUGGUGAACCCGGGCCGGGAUGUGACAUUUUUAAACUACAGUUUUUCUUUAAUUAUUCACAAAUGUAUGUACAGGUUAACGAAAAAACAUGUAUGCUUUUUUGGUGAAUUUGAUUCGAAUUGGUAAAUUUUGGUAACAAAAAAACCUAUGAUAAAUUAAAACACUCAUUAAAUAAUAUUAUCUGUUCAGUGUAUCUAUAUAUAGUUAACAAAUUGUUCAAUGAGUUUUGUGUAUGUAAAACUCUCAUCUUCUAUCUAUUUGUGGCUAAUCAACAUCGCUUGUUGGUGAUGGAUGUACAUAUCAAAAGAGUGAGACAAAAGAACAAGACUUGGAAGUGUCCAAGGACUAGAUGGUGGAAUCUAAAAGAAGAAAAACAAGCCAUUUUCAAAGAGAAAGUAAUCACCCAGUGUGUGUGGGAUAGAGAGGGGGAAGCUAGCCAAAUGUGGGAUUCCAUGGCUAGUUGUAUCCGAAAAGUAGCAAAAGAGGUAUUAGGAGAGUCCAAGGGCUUUGCCCCACACCAAAAGGAAUCUUGGUGGUGGAAUGAGGAGGUACAAACAAAGGUGAAGGCUAAGAAGGAAUGUUGUAAAGCCUUAUACAAGGAUAGGACUGAUGAAAAUGGUGAAAGGUAUAGAAAAGCGAAGCAAGAGGCGAAGAAAGCUGUGAGAGAAGCUAAGUUAGCGGCUUACGACGAUAUGUAUAAACGACUAGAUACCAAAGAAGGAGAGUUGGAUAUCUAUAAACUAGCGAGAGCAAGGGAAAAGAAGACAAGAGACCUAAACCAAGUGCAUCAAGGAUGAGGAUGGAAAAGUUCUUGCUACAGAGAAUGCAGUUAAAGACAGAUGGAGAGGUUAUUUUCAUAAUCUUUUCAAUGAAGGACAUGAAAGGAGUGCUUCUUUAGGGGAGUUGAGUAACUCAGAAGAGUGUAGAAACUACUCUUUUUAUCGUCGAAUCCGGAAGGAAGAAGUGGUUGUAGCUUUGAAGAAGAUGAAGCAAAGAAAAGCAAUAGGCCCAGACGAGAUACCAAUCGAAGUGUGGAAAGUUUUGGGAGAGACAGGUAUAACAUGGCUCACUGACCUUUUCAAUAGGAUUUUGAAAACGAAGAAGAUGCCAAAUGAGUGGCGAACGAGCACUUUAGUGCCUAUCUACAAGAAUAAGGGCGACGUACAAAAUUGCAUGAACUAUAGGGGUAUUAAGCUAAUGAGUCAUACAAUGAAGCUCUGGGAGAGAGUCAUUGAGCAUAGAUUGAGGCAAGAGACACGGGUUUCGGACAACCAAUUCGGGUUCAUGCCAGGGCGCUCAACCAUGGAGGCAAUCUAUCUCUUACGAAGAUUGAUGGAAAGAUAUAGAGAUGGGAAAAAGGAUUUACACAUGGUCUUUAUAGAUUUGGAGAAAGCGUACGAUAGGGUCCCAAGAGACAUUCUUUGGAGGAUUUUAGAGAAGAAAGGAGUACGAGUAGCAUAUAUCCAAGCUAUAAAGGAUAUGUAUGAAGGAGCAAAGACUGCCGUAAGAACUCAUGAAGGACAAACCGAAAGCUUUCCCAUAACUGUAGGAUUACAUCAAGGCUCAUCCUUAAGUCCUUACCUUUUUGCGUUGGUAAUGGAUGAGUUAACAGGACAUAUUCAAGAUGAUAUUCCUUGGUGUAUGCUUUUCGCAGACGAUAUAGUGUUGAUAGAUGAAACUCAGGAAGGGGUAAAUGCAAAGCUUAACCUUUGGAAAGAAGUGUUGGAAUCUAAAGGUCUUCGCCUAAGCCGAUCAAAGACAGAAUAUAUGGAGUGCAAGUUCAGUGCAAAUGGAGGCCAAAACGAGUUAGGGGUGAGGAUCGGUGAUCAAGAAAUACCAAAGAGCGAUCGUUUUCGUUACCUAGGAUCUAUCUUGCAAAAGAACGGAGAAUUAGAUGGAGAUCUCAACCAUAGAAUACAAGCUGGAUGGAUGAAGUGGAAGAGUGCAUCCGGCGUGUUGUUGUGUGACCGCCGUAUGCCAUUGAAGCUCAAGGGAAAAUUUUAUAGGACGGCAAUAAGGCCGGCGAUGCUGUAUGGCACAGAAUGUUGGGCGGUGAAGCAUCAACACGUACACAAAAUGGGUGUAGCGGAGAUGAGGAUGCUUCGUUGGAUGUGUGGGCACACGAGAAAGGAUAAGAUUAGGAAUGAGGAUAUCCGGGGUAAAGUAGGAGUAGCCGAAAUUGAAGGAAAGAUGAGAGAAAAUCGGUUACGGUGGUUUGGACAUGUGCAAAGAAGGCCUACUGACGCUCCGAUUAGAAGAUGCGACUAUGGGGCAGAGGUUCAGGGCCGAAGGGGUAGAGGAAGACCUAGGAAAACUUUGGAAGAGACUCUAAGAAAAGACUUAGAGUACUUGGAUCUAACGAAGGACAUGACACAGGACCGAGCACAAUGGCGUUCUAAGAUUCAUGUAGCCGAUCCCACUCAGUGACUUGGAUUUUCCAAGUCUCCAACCGAGAAGUUUUCCUCACUCAGGAAAUUAAGGGAACACUACCUCAACCUACAUGCUCCACUCACAAAGCUCCAACAAAAGAAAAUUCAAAGAACUUAGCGAAGAAGGCUUUGGUGUAUUUAACACAAUACGUUGAAAUGAAGGAAAGCUUAUUUAUUGAUAUCCCCGAUAAGCUACAAAUAUGUACAUAUACAUGAGUCAAAAUAAACAAACAAGAGAGAGCCUUCACAAAGGUUGCUUAGGAGAAGUCGCAGCAGUCGGUAGAGCCCCAGAAAGCGAAGGCACCGGAGGGGGAUCAUUCGGAGCCUCAGUACUGGACAGAACCCUAGAAGGAGGAGGCAUCAGAGGUUGAUCAUUUGGAGCUUCAUUACGCGGUACAGCCCCAGAAGACGAAGGCAAUAAAUGCCUUUGGAACAAACCACAAAAUCUCUGAUGAUCAAGUAAAACCUGACCAUCAGAUUCCUUCAUCUGGUCCAACUUCCUCUUCAUGUUUGUAGCAUAGUCAUGUGCGAGACGGUGCAACUGUUUAUUCUCAUGCUUGAGCCCUCUAAUCUCCUGUUUGAGACUCAUCACUUCAGCCGCCAAUGAUUCAACUUGGCGGGUUCGAGCAAAUAGGCGUUGGGCCAUAUUAGACACAGAACCUGCACACUGAACACUGAGAGCCAGAGAAUCCUUAACAGCUAACUCAUCAGAUCGUUUGGAAAGUAGUCUGUUAUCUUUGGGAGUGAGAAGGUUCCUGGCCACCACCGCAGCGGUCAUAUCAUUCUUCAUAACGGAAUCCCCAACGGUAAGAGGACCAGUAGGGGAGACGAAGGAUGGGCGCCAUAUGUUGUCUGGAGAAGGCGGGGCUGCCUCUUCAACAAGGUUCAAAGUCAAAACGACGGUCGGAGGGGCCAGACAUUUUCAAAGGUGUUGAAGAGAGAAGAGGUCGAACAAAUCAAGAUCUUAGAAGUGUAAGAAUGGAGCUUCUACUGGUGGAGAUUCAAGUGUGCUUUGGAACUUAAUGCCAGCCCCUAUAAAAAUCUGCACUCGACGGAGCUUCAGAAAUCGAAGAGGGCGCCUGCUCAGAAAUCGAAGAGGCGUUUGCUUUCUCAAAAAGCUGGGCUGCUCAGAGACCACGAGGGUCGAUCUCAGAAAUCGAAGAGGCGUCUGCUUUCUCAAAAGUUGGGCUGCUCAAAGACCACGAAGGCCGAUCUCAGAAAUCGAAGAGGCGCUUGCUUUCUCAAAAGUUGGGCUGCUCAGAGACCACGAGGGCCGAUCUCAGAAAUCGAAGAGGCACCUACUUUUCCAGCCUUGGCAGCACCUGUCACACGCACACUCAGCUUUGCGGAAAUUAUGGGCAUUCUGUCGAAGACUUCUGGUGAAGUAGAAAGCACAUGAGUCUUACUGUUCAAUCACCCACACGCAAUAGUAGCUCAUGUGUAUCACAGAUAACUUUGCCAAAGUUCUCUGCCAAAGUUGAGCACGUGAAGCUUGCAGCUUCCACUACAUCGCUCUGACCAAGACGGGUAAAAGAAUAGCAAAGAAACAGCACUAACAAAGUUUAGACACAUAAAUUUUGAAGGUCUAGCUACCCCAUAUUAUUACCCACAAGGGUAAAGGAACAGUAUCACUGCUGGAUAAUUGGAAAGUCCCUGUGUGUCAACCUCUGUGCUUCGUGGCAAGGUAGACUAGCAAACAUGCCCAACCUUUACUCACAUUCGAGAAAACACUCCCAACAAGAUUGCUUGCUCCAAAAUCGAAGAGGCACCGUCCUCCGAAUCUCGAGAGCCAGACUCCCAACAUGAUUACUUUCUCAAAAAUCGAAGAGACACCGCUCUUCGAAUCUCGAGAGCCAGACCCCCAGCAUGAUUGCUUUCUCAAAAAUCGAAGAGACAUCGUUCUCCGAAUCUCGAGAGCCAGAUCCCUGAUAGGAUUGCUUGUUCGAAAACCGAAGAGGCAACACUUUCCCAACUACAAGAGCCGGAUCUCCUUGGAUAAAGCUGUCUGUAAUCUUCACACGCAACAUCAGCUUUCCACAUACCACAGACCACUUUUUCAAAGUGCUCUGACAGGGUAAAGGAAUAGCAUUACUACUUGUUGUUAAGGAGACUCCUAUAUAUGUCAACCUCCAUCCCCAACGGACAGACAGACCUGCAAAAAUGCUCAACCCUUCCUCAUAUAUGAGAGGGCACUCUCAACGAAGCCUUUUGAAAUAUUCAGCUUUCUUUCCCCCCGAUAAUACCUCUGCAAACAAGUUAUACUAGAGCAAGAAUAUCUCAUAUCAUCAGGGUUAAAAGCAAGAGUAUCCCAUAUCAUGCUUUUUCCCUGUCUUUUCCUUUGGCCUUGUUCUUACCUGCAAGACAAGGAGAAAGAGAGCAAUCAAUCAGCACUUGGAAUCAAGCUUCCAGCCAGGAACUGACUGCCUGGAACUUACUUACCUGGCAUUGCUCUCGAGUACUCAUCUUCAACAUCUUAUGCUUCCAGGGAAGAUACCGCAUCUGCCUGAGGAACAGAUAGGGCAAGUGAGAAGGAUACAAGGAAGCAUGUGGAGACAAGCGUAACAGCACACGUGCCGAUACAUCCAUUACUCUGUCAAAGCAAAAGUAUCCCAUAUCAGUAGGGUCGAACGUACUCUAGAUUUGAUGGACUUGUUUUGACCCUCAAAUUCUUCAGUCGGCCUUAUACUCUGGAGGAAACCAGAAAACCCUCCAGCUCAGUUCAAGAAUAAGCCUGUGGAAAGUUACUUCUUCAAAAGCAAAAGUAUCCCAUAUCAUCUCUUCUCAUUUUUCUUCUCUUUAUCCUUCAUGCUGCCUGCAAGAUAGGGAGAAUGUGAACAAUCAGCCGGAGCUCUGAUUGCUUUCCUUGUCUGUCACCUCUUUCAGCAAAUCCCCUAGCUCGGCAACUUGAGGGACUCCUACUACAUGGUUUGUAUCGCGCUUGACCAAGCCUGAAACUACAAGUAAGCUUCAAGUGAAAUUGAUACAUUACCUUGUGCAUCUCCACCAGUUAAAGAUACCACCCCUGGAUGGAGGAAGAGUACUUCCAGAGAAGAUGCCACAUCUACCUAUGAGACAGAUAAGGCAAGUCAAGACGAUACCACAUUCCGAUACUUAGAAGUUUCGUGAUUACGAGAUCAUUCUCCCACAAUAUUUCCUAAUGUCAUUUGUACUAAAUCAUUCACCUGUACUCACUAAAGGAAAGCUUGAACCUAUGUACUUGUGUAAACCCUUCACAAUUAAUGAGAACUCCUCUAUUCCGUGGACGUAGCCAAUCUGGGUGAACCACGUACAUCUUGUGUUUGCUUUCCUAUCUAUAUCCAUUUAUAUACUUAUCCACACUAAUGAUCGGAGCAAUCUAGCGAAGAUCACAAAAAGCGACCGUUUUCGCUACCUAGGAUAUAUCGUGCAAGAGAACGGAGAAUUAGAGAGAGAUCUCAACCAUAGAAUAGAAGUUGGAUAGAUGAAGUGUAAGAGUGCAUCCGGCGGGUUGUGUGACCGUCGUAGGCCACUGAAGCUCAAGGGAAAAUUUUAUAGGACGGCAAUAAGGCCAGCGAUGUUGUAUGGCACAUAAUGUUGGGCGGUGAAGCAUCAACACGUACACAAAAUGGGUGUGGCGGAGACGAGGAUGCUUCGUGGGAUGUGUGGGCACACAAGAAAUGAUAAGAUUGGAAAUGAGGAUAUUCGAGGUAAAGUAGGAGUGGCCGAAAUUGAAGGAAAGAUGAGAGAAAAUCGGUUCCGGUGAUUUGGACAUGUGCAAAGAAGGCCUACUGACGCUCCGGUUCGAAGAUGUGACUACGGGACAGAGGUUCAGGGCCAAAGGGGUAGAGGAAGACCUAGGAAAACUUUGGAAGAGACUCUAAGAAAAGACUUAGAGUACUUGGUUCUAACGGAGGACAUGACACAAAACCGAGCGCAAUGGCGUUCUAGGAUUCAUAUAGCCGACCCCACUUAGUGGGAAAAGGCUUUGUUGUUGUUGUUGUUGUUGUUAUUUCUCUGCAUAGUCUAGAAAAAUUCUGCUUUCCUAAUCAUUUCUCACAAUUUCAUUUGGUUUUAAAAGUUUUGCUAUAAUUUGCUCUGAUGAAAGGACAUUCUGCGACAAAAACCAGGAUCAAUUUGUUUGCAUCUUGAAGAUUUCUACUUUCACCAAGUUUAUCUCCAACUCCAGGUAUUUUAUCCCAUUGGCAACUUAAAAUCAACUGCAUCUCUAUACUUUGGUAAUCAUUAGGUAAAAUAGGCUGACUAUAUGCAUAUUUCUUCAUAUUCGAACAACAAUCACAACAAAACUAGCAAUCCAUAUGGUCAUAAAUAGAUUUCUAUGUGUAUAUAAAUGCUACUCUAUACCCGCAGCAUUGUGCGGGCACCGCUGCUAGUUAACUCCCUAAUCCUCCAUUUCCUAAAUCCCACUCCACCCAACCGAAGUCCACCAUCAUCAGCACACCACCAAUCUCUUCCCCAAACUUCAUGUACCUAUCGACACUUCAAGAUCAACUUAAUUAGGCAUUUCAAGAUCAAUUUGAUAUUUAUAUUAUUCUAUUUGUUUGAGAAAUAACUUUUCUUAAUCGCAAGGAAUUAGUGAUCUUGUUAAAAAAUGAUGGAAAGGGUUACACUAAAUUGUUGUUUGUAUAAAGAUUAUGAAUAAAAAGUUGUAAUUUAUCAUUUAAUAUUGCAAUGGUAAUCUUUUUUUUUUUAGCUUGAAUAUUGGGAGCACCCGAUAUUAAUAUCCUGGAUCCGCCACUGCACGUGACAGGGUGAUUGUGACACCUACAACUUUCGCUCCCGCAGAAAGUAGUUGUUGAUCCCUCAUGGCUCAUAUCCAUGGAUUAUUUAGCAGCUUUUUAGCUCACCUUUUGCUCUUAUAGCGUUAGAGUGGAGCAAUGAGUUUCAUACUGGAUGCUUUUAGACAUUAUUCUUUGAUAAUCUUUCUAUUUGGUCUUGCAUCAGUCAUUUCGCAUCAGUCCUUGCCACUAUAUUAUUAUUUCCAGCAUUAGUCGUAUACCUUUCGAUUGCAAACAUGUUAGCCAACACUAAUAAGCCAAUUCUUUAUUGUGGGAUGUCGUUUUGGUAGGAUUACGAUUUUCACGCUCAUUUUUUAACCAUUUGUGUACUCUAAACUGUAUAUUCACAUUAUUUCUAUGCUAACAUAGGAGUGCAGGAGGUUGAAAAUGAGUGAAAAUUAGGAAGUCUUAUAUAGAUUUACAUAACUGCUCCUAGUAAAAGCAAUUACAAGACUCGCUUACUUGAGUUAAACCCCUUGCUUGAGGUUUCCUUCAAAUAGGUAUUCUCGAAGGCUGAUUUGGUGCUCGAAAACAUAUCAAGUCGAAAGUUGAGGCAUCUACAGGACUACGAAGAUUGUGGGUGGAUUUAUCUACAGUACUACAACGAUUUUAAGGUUGACAGUUGGUGCUUAAUGUUAGGAAGCAUCUUUAGUUGGGUCCUUUGAUAAUAACAGAACGAUGCUAGACCACAGUUAGUGUGGCAUGUACAGGACUGCACCAGCUUGUUUACACGUUUAUAUAAUGAUGGGAGCUUGUGUGAACAUGCAUCUCGAAAAGAGGAAACCACGCUGACAGAGUUGCAUCAGCUGGGUUGUAAGAUGGAUGCAUCACUCUCUGUGGACAGAGAAGGACAAAUGGUGGAUGAUGGUGGUAAACGCGGUGGUUGGAUCAUCUUUUUAUUCAUGAUAGGUAUCUCUCUCUCUCUCUCUCCCCCUCUCACCCCCCCCCCCUCCCUCUCUCAUGUACUUCUGUUGUUCACUUAUGACUACAAGGAAGUGAAAAAGAAAACUUCUUUCUUAGCAAAUCAUGUGAUCGUAUUUUAUUUUGAGCAGGAGCUUUAAUGUGCUUGACACUUGCUGCUGGAGGAUGGCAAGCAAAUCUGAUUCUGUAUCUGAUUUAGGAGUUUAAGUGAAGAGCAUUGAUGCUACUCAGGUGUCAAAUGUUGUCAAUGGUUGCACUAGUUUGCUUCCUAUCAUUGGAGCAAUUAUUGCAGACUCUUUCUUUGGCUGUUUCCCUGUCAUCCUGAUCUCUUCUUGUGUCUCUUUUCUGGUAAUAGCCUCGCUCGGUCUCUACUCUAACAAGCACACAUGCUCACAUAGCCAUGAUAGUUCUUUUACUCAUUGAUGUAGGAUAAUACACUUCCAAUUUGCAACAUAAAGUUGAGUUUUUAUAAGAUAAUACACUUUCAGUUCUCUGCUUAAUGGAGCAUUAUUAGCCUAAGAUGAAGCAUCUGAAUCCUUAAAUAGUUGGAGCUAGAGACACGGUAGGAAGGUUUCCAUAUUUCUUCUCAUAUUUGAGCUGUACCUCGGCUACCUGUGGGCAAUACAUAUCGUCACAUUUUUCAAUUUUCCAGUGGAACCAACUUGUCUUUGAAAAUCUUCAAUACACGUCUAGUCUCAUUUUUAAGUUCGUUACAAUUUAUUCUUUGCAGGGAUUGGUCCUAUUCACUUUGACUGCAACUCUUGAUUCCUUGAGGCCCUCUUCAUGUGAGAAUGGAUCUAGCUUGUGCAAAACACCAUCAAAAAUUCAGUUUGCGGUCCUAUAUGCUAGUAUAACUCUGGCAUCAAUUGGACUCAGAGGCACUCGCUUUACUAUAGCAACAAUGGGAGCAAACCAAUUUGACAAGCCUAAAAAUCAAGGGAUUUUCUUUAACUGGUUUUUCUUUGCCAUGUAUACAGCAACUGUUGUAAGUUCUACUGUCGUUUGUGUAUAUUGAGGACAGUGUCAGUUGGGUGUUGGGAUUUGGCUUAUCUGCUCUUGUUAAUCUGAUUGGUCUGGUCAUAUUCGCAUCUGGAACCCAUUUCUAUUGUCGUGAUAAGCCACAAGGUAGUCCAUUCGUGAAAAUAGCUCAUGUUAUUGUUGCUAGUAUCCGGAAAUGGAACGUUAAGCUCUCAUCCAGAAGGGAGGAUUACCACUAACACAAUGAUGGAGAGGCAAAGACGACUCCUGCAGCACCUAAAAGGAGUUUCACUUUCAGGUACCAGAAUUUCCACAUUUUGUGCAUCCUUACAUUGAUUUUACAUUGGUGUCUUCUUUAUUACACGCCGCAUGUUUUUUGAACUGUGAGGCCAAAUACAAAAGAUAACUAGAAGAUAAUAAGUGACGUCGUGUGUAUAAUUCACGGGUGACAUAAGUCAACCCUAUCAAACUUCACCUAACAAGACCUCUAGCUUUUCUGUAUGAUCUAUGAUGGAAAAAAGAAUGUAAAGUUGAGGAUAGAAAAAUCUUGUAUUCAAUUUUGCAAAAUCUUGUAGACAUAAUUUCACUUAUCUUCUGUUGCUGAAGAUUCAUGUAAUGUGAUGAGAUAGUUCUGCUGAGGCCCGCUAUGGAAUCCAUCCUCGGUGAUGGUGGGAUUAUUGAUCAGCGAGUUGGCCACUUUAGGAUGUUCGAAACAGCUUUUGGGGAACACCUGCGUUGUUCACUUUACGUGAGUCAACAAGCAAGGAAGCUUUUCCCCAAUGUUUUCUAUCUGUAAUCAUUAUUUUGUUGAGUUUGGAUGGAUAUAUACACAGUACUAUUUCAGUAGGAAACAGAGUGCCAUGCACAAUCAAGGAAAUAAUGAUGGUAAGCAAUUCUGUUUGCUCUCUUGUUGCAGAUUUCUGAACAAUGCAGCCCUGGAAACAGAAGGGGACUUGAAGCCCGACGGCUCAAUUACAAGGCCAUGGAGGUUGUGCACACUCCAGCAAGUAGAAGAUCUCAAAACUACCAUAAGAAUUUUACCCUGUUGGUCAUCCAACAUAUUUAUAAGUACCCCCAUAGCGAUUCAAAUGAGCUUAACGGUCCUCCAACCUCUGAAGAUGGACCGUCACAUUGGUUCACAUUUUAACAUCCCGGUUAAGCUCACAUUCAAAUGAGCUUAACAUAUUUAGUUUUUUAAAUUUUUAAAAAGAGUAUGAGAUAAUGAUGAUGUGAUCUCCUAUCAAGGGCAUAUUAUUCUUAAUAUUACAUAAUUACCAUUUUGCCCUCUUUAAGUAAAUAUUGUGUAUCAAACGUGAGGGUAAAAUAGGGAAAAUAGGGGUAUGAUUGUUAUUUUCUCAAAAGAUACAAAAUUACUAUUUUGCCCUCCUCAUGUCAACAUUGUAUAUUCAAAAGUGAGGGUAACAUUGGAAGAAAAAGGGCAAAAUUUUGACAAACCCUCUUCUCUUAAUAGAAUAAGAAUAGAUAGAUAUAAUUAUGUUGAGCAAUAAACCAAUCAAAACUCAUUUCACAUAAAGUCCUCCUUGCCGGCUUAAUUUGUUAUCUUGUCAUUAUUUUUUCAUUUCCAGCAUUAUUGGUAUACCGACUAUGGCCAGUAUGUUAGCCAACAAUAAUAAGCCAAUUCUUUAUUGUUGGAUGUUGUUGUCGUAGGGUUACGAUUUUCACGCUCAUUUUUUAAACAUCUGCACUCUAAACUGUAUAUUUUACAUUCUUUUUACUCACAUAGGAGUGCAGGAGGUUGAAAAUGAGUGCCAAAAUUACGGUGUGAUUGAGAUUCACAAACUGCUCCUAGUAACAUGAACUUGCUUACUUGAGUUAAAACCCUUGCUUGAGGUUUCCUUCAAAUAGGUCUUCUUGAAGGCUGAUUUGGUGCUCGAAAACUUAGCUAGUCGAAAGUUGAGGCAUCCCAAUGACUGGCUGGAUUU
rnacentral:lncRNA from 1 species